CUUUUUUAGGGUUUUCUGAUUAGUGUUUUCUUUACAAGGACAUAAAAGAAAAAGUCCAAAUGGACAAAGAACAAAUGACAAAAUAGUAAAUAAUAUGAUAUGGAAUGCUAAACAUAAAAUAUAAAGUAAAUGGCCUAAAAUAAAAGAGCAUAAAGUAAAUGAAAUUGAAGUAAAAGUUAAUACAAGUAAAAUGUUAGUAAAUGA
rnacentral:lncRNA from 1 species